AUGGUGGCCAAGCCAGCCGACAUCCCCAUGCAGAUUCAACGGACUCAGACAAUUUUUUCUCUCCCUUAAACAAUGUCUUCCCUGUGUAAUCCUAAAAGCAAGCCUGGAGAACUCUCAGAUUUCCUGGUUGAAGGUUCUCCAAGUUCCCUUGUUUAAGGACAGAUUUACUCUCACUGAAUCUACAGAAGAGAAUUUGAAAAAUGCAAGUGUCUCUACCUUAAGCAAAGCAGAGAGGAAGGGGGAGCUCUUCAGAUGACCCUCACCUUGGGCCUUUUCUUUCUCCCUAUUUAGAGUGCCAGGCACCUAGGUUCUGGCUGGCAGCACUCUGCAAGUGGGAGCUUUGGAUGUGAUGACUAAGGAAGAGAUGUUGUUUGUCAUUCUUAUAAAUAGCUUUCUGAGACAGCUGAUCUGGAAGACAACUGAAUGCUUGAGCCCAGCACAACUCCAUUACUCUGUGAAUUCUUUUCUGCCAUUAGGAUUUAGUGAAGGGAAGGUGAAGUGCACAUCAAGGAAAUAGAGAGGGACAAGCUCUUCAUUCUUUCAUCCUUCCACUGUCCUCUAACUCUGUGGGAGUGUGUGAGCUCCCUGUGACAGCAUCCUCCAGGAAGCUUAUUAGGAAAGAACAAUCCCAGGCCUCAUAUCAGAUCUCCUGAAGCAGAAUCUCCAUUUUUUUUUUUUCUUGUGAGUGAAAUUGGCCCUGAGCUAAGAGCUGUGCCAAUCUUCCUCUAUUUUAUGUAGGACACCGCCACAGCAUGGCUUGACAAGCUGUGCUAGGUCUGUGCCUGGGAUCUGAACCUGCAAACCCUGGGCUGCCAAACUGGAGCAUGCAAACUUAACCACUACACCCGGGCCGGCCCCCAGAAUCUCCAUUUUAACAGAAUCCCCAGGGAUUGCCAUGUGUACUAAAGUUGGUGGAGCUUUGGUCUAACUCAUCGUGGGGCCGUCUGGUUUAAAGUGGUAUUGCAGCAUUGAAAGUUUAAGGAGAGACAAGGUCCAUGAGCCAGAAUCUGGUAUGGUGGUGGCAGAGUGACUGUUUCCUGUAUUUGGGCACUGCCAGCAGCUUGAUUCAGAAGACGGAUGACAAAUUUGUCACCGGGCUGCCUGGAUAAACACCAAGACCAUGGGAUCAUUUGCUUAAAGGAAAGGAGCUCGUCAGCGAUAUGAGACUCAUUUGAACAAGAGUCCAGGCUACCACAUCAUACCAAAUGUGCCUUGAAUAGUCAGGCCCCCCAGUUGUAUUCUAGUUGUGAGUGCCUCCGAUUGUGCUAUGUGGG